GUCUCGACUGGUCCAUUCCCGGCCCACCCCCAUUAACCGGCUCGAGCCACUCCCAGGACGAAGUCAAGGCCUCGGAAGGCGACUACAACUCCCAGCAGGUCGAGCAGCUCCGCCCGCGCUGAUUCUCCAUUGGCCUUCCGGGGGUGGGGAUUAGAUGGGAGGUGGCCGUGGGGCUGCGGCCGGGAUUUGUCCCCUCUUCGGCUUCCGUAGAGGAAGUGGCGCGGACCUUCAUUUGGGGUUUCGGUUCCCCCCCUUCCCCUUCCCCGGGGUCUGGGGGUGACAUUGCACCGCGCCCCUCGUGGGGUCGCGUUGCCACCCCACGCGGACUCCCCAGCUGGCGCGCCCCUCCCAUUUGCCUGUCCUGGUCAGGCCCCCACCCCCCUUCCCACCUGACCAGCCAUGGGGGCUGCGGUGUUUUUCGGCUGCACUUUCGUCGCGUUCGGCCCGGCCUUCGCGCUUUUCUUGAUCACUGUGGCUGGGGACCCGCUUCGCGUUAUCAUCCUGGUCGCAGGUUUCUGGUCUCUCCUUCGGUAUCAUCAGUGGUGUCUUCUCUGUUAUCAAUAUUUUGGCUGAUGCACUUGGGCCAGGUGUGGUUGGGAUCCAUGGAGACUCACCCUAUUACUUCCUGACUUCAGCCUUUCUGACAGCAGCCAUUAUCCUGCUCCAUACCUUUUGGGGAGUUGUGUUCUUUGAUGCCUGUGAGAGGAGACGGUACUGGGCUUUGGGCCUGGUGGUUGGGAGUCACCUACUGACAUCGGGACUGACAUUCCUGAACCCCUGGUAUGAGGCCAGCCUGCUGCCCAUCUAUGCAGUCACUGUUUCCAUGGGGCUCUGGGCCUUCAUCACAGCUGGAGGGUCCCUCCGAAGUAUUCAGCGCAGCCUCUUGUGUAAGGACUGACUACCUGGACUGAUCGCCUGACAGAUCCCACCUGCCUGUCCACUGCCCAUGACUGAGCCCAGCCCCAGCCCGGGUCCAUUGCCCACAUUCUCUGUCUCCUUCUCGUCGGUCUACCCCACUACCUCCAGGGUUUUGCUUUGUCCUUUUGUGACCGUUAGUCUCUAAGCUUUACCAGGAGCAGCCUGGGUUCAGCCAGUCAGUGACUGGUGGGUUUGAAUCUGCACUUAUCCCCACCACCUGGGGACCCCCUUGUUGUGUCCAGGACUCCCCCUGUGUCAGUGCUCUGCUCUCACCCUGCCCAAGACUCACCUCCCUUCCCCUCUGCAGGCCGACGGCAGGAGGACAGUCGGGUGAUGGUGUAUUCUGCCCUGCGCAUCCCACCCGAGGACUGAGGGAACCUAGGGGGGACCCCUGGGCCUGGGGUGCCCUCCUGAUGUCCUCGCCCUGUAUUUCUCCAUCUCCAGUUCUGGACAGUGCAGGUUGCCAAGAAAAGGGACCUAGUUUAGCCAUUGCCCUGGAGAUGAAAUUAAUGGAGGCUCAAGGAUAGAUGAGCUCUGAGUUUCUCAGUACUCCCUCAAGACUGGACAUCUUGGUCUUUUUCUCAGGCCUGAGGGGGAACCAUUUUUGGUGUGAUAAAUACCCUAAACUGCCUUUUUUUCUUUUUUGAGGUGGGGGGAGGGAGGAGGUAUAUUGGAACUCUUCUAACCUCCUUGGGCUAUAUUUUCUCUCCUCGAGUUGCUCCUCAUGGCUGGGCUCAUUUCGGUCCCUUUCUCCUUGGUCCCAGACCUUGGGGGAAAGGAAGGAAGUGCAUGUUUGGGAACUGGCAUUACUGGAACUAAUGGUUUUAACCUCCUUAACCACCAGCAUCCCUCCUCUCCCCAAGGUGAAGUGGAGGGUGCUGUGGUGAGCUGGCCACUCCAGAGCUGCAGUGCCACUGGAGGAGUCAGACUACCAUGACAUCGUAGGGAAGGAGGGGAGAUUUUUUUGUAGUUUUUAAUUGGGGUGUGGGAGGGGCGGGGAGGUUUUCUAUAAACUGUAUCAUUUUCUGCUGAGGGUGGAGUGUCCCAUCCUUUUAAUCAAGGUGAUUGUGAUUUUGACUAAUAAAAAAGAAUUUGUAAUUGUG
rnacentral:lncRNA from 1 species